AGUGAACGCUGGCGGUAGGCCUAACACAUGCAAGUCGAACGGCAGCACAGUAAGAGCUUGCUCUUACGGGUGGCGAGUGGCGGACGGGUGAGGAAUACAUCGGAAUCUACUUUUUCGUGGGGGAUAACGUAGGGAAACUUACGCUAAUACCGCAUACGACCUACGGGUGAAAGCAGGGGAUCUUCGGACCUUGCGCGAUUGAAUGAGCCGAUGUCGGAUUAGCUAGUUGGCGGGGUAAAGGCCCAACAAGGCGACGAUCCGUAGCUGGUCUGAGAGGCUGAUCAGCCACACUGGAACUGAGACACGGUCCAGACUCCUACGGGAGGCAGCAGUGGGGAAUAUUGGACAAUGGGCGCAAGCCUGAUCCAGCCAUACCGCGUGGGUGAAGAAGGCCUUCGGGUUGUAAAGCCCUUUUGUUGGGAAAGAAAAGCAGCAGGUUAAUACCCCGCUGUUCUGACGGUACCCAAAGAAUAAGCACCGGCUAACUUCGUG
rnacentral:rRNA from 1 species